AACGAACGCUGGCGGCAGGCUUAACACAUGCAAGUCGAACGGAUCCUUCGGGAUUAGUGGCAGACGGGUGAGUAACGCGUGGGAACGUACCCUUUGCUACGGAAUAACUCAGGGAAACUUGAGCUAAUACCGUAUGUGCCCUACGGGGGAAAGAUUUAUCGGCAAAGGAUCGGCCCGCGUUGGAUUAGCUAGUUGGUGGGGUAAUGGCCUACCAAGGCGACGAUCCAUAGCUGGUCUGAGAGGAUGAUCAGCCACACUGGGACUGAGACACGGCCCAGACUCCUACGGGAGGCAGCAGUGGGGAAUAUUGGACAAUGGGCGCAAGCCUGAUCCAGCCAUGCCGCGUGAGUGAUGAAGGUCUUAGGAUUGCAAAGCUCUUUCACCGGUGAAGAUAAUGACGGUAGCCGGAGAAGAAGCCCCGGCUAACUUCGUG
rnacentral:rRNA from 1 species